CCUACGGGGGGCUGCAGUGGGGAAUAUUGGACAAUGGGGGCAACCCUGAUCCAGCCAUGCCGCGUGUGUGAAGAAGGCCCUCGGGUUGUAAAGCACUUUCAGUGAGGAAGAACGCCUGGUGGUUAAUACCCAUCAGGAAAGACAUCACUCACAGAAGAAGCACCGGCUAACUCCGUGCCAGCAGCCGCGGUAAUACGGAGGGUGCGAGCGUUAAUCGGAAUUACUAGGCGUAAAGCGCGCGUAGGUGGCUUGAUAAGCCGGUUGUGAAAGCCCCGGGCUCAACCUGGGAACGGCAUCCGGAACUGUCAAGCUAGAGUGCAGGAGAGGAAGGUAGAAUUCCCGGUGUAGCGGUGAAAUGCGUAGAGAUCGGGAGGAAUACCAGUGGCGAAGGCGGCCUUCUGGACUGACACUGACACUGAGGUGCGAAAGCGUGGGUAGCAAACAGGAUUAGAUACCCCAGUAGUC
rnacentral:rRNA from 1 species